CAAGAAAGCCGAAGGCUACUUAAAACCAUCGCGAACGUAUCCAAGUUGCUAUCGGCGGCGCGGCUCACCCCUCACGGGGACCGCAGCCCCACGCCUCUCAGGAGGUAAGGGGCAGCCGCCGAGAGGUACGAAACUCUGUAUUAUAGUGGUAUCUCUGAGUAUUAAAACAAAAUUAAGUUA
rnacentral:misc_RNA from 1 species